rnacentral:rRNA from 1 species
UACAGAGGUUGCAAGCGUUAAUCGGAAUUACUGGGCGUAAAGCGCGCGUAGGUGGUUUGUUAAGUUGGAUGUGAAAUCCCCGGGCUCAACCUGGGAACUGCAUUCAAAACUGACAAGCUAGAGUAUGGUAGAGGGUGGUGGAAUUUCCUGUGUAGCGGUGAAAUGCGUAGAUAUAGGAAGGAACACCAGUGGCGAAGGCGACCACCUGGACUGAUACUGACACUGAGGUGCGAAAGCGUGGGGAGCAAACAGG